rnacentral:rRNA from 1 species
UACAGAGGGGGCGAGCGUUGUUCGGAAUUACUGGGCGUAAAGGGCGCGUAGGCGCCUUCUAAGUCGAACGUGAAAUCCCCGGGCUCAACCCGGGAACUGCGUCCGAUACUGGAAGGCUUGAAUCCGGGAGAGGGAUGCGGAAUUCCAGGUGUAGCGGUGAAAUGCGUAGAUAUCUGGAGGAACACCGGUGGCGAAGGCGGCAUCCUGGACCGGCAUUGACGCUGAGGCGCGAAAGCCAGGGGAGCAAACGGGG